rnacentral:rRNA from 1 species
UACGGAGGAUGCGAGCGUUAUCCGGAUUUAUUGGGUUUAAAGGGAACGCAGGCGGUCUUUUAAGUCUGAUGUGAAAGCCUUCGGCUUAACCGGAGUAGUGCAUUGGAAACUGGGAGACUUGAGUGCAGAAGAGGAGAGUGGAACUCCAUGUGUAGCGGUGAAAUGCGUAGAUAUAUGGAAGAACACCAGUGGCGAAAGCGGCUCUCUGGUCUGUAACUGACGCUGAGGUUCGAAAGCGUGGGUAGCAAACAGG